CCUACGGGAGGCAGCAGUAAGGAAUAUUGGACAAUGGGCGAAAGCCUGAUCCAGCCAUGCCGCGUGAAGGAUUAAGGUCCUCUGGAUUGUAAACUUCUUUUAUGUGGGAACGAAAAAAGGGCAUUCUUGCUCACUUGACGGUACCAUUUGAAUAAGCACCGGCUAACUCCGUGCCAGCAGCCGCGGUAAUACGGAGGGUGCAAGCGUUAUCCGGAUUCACUGGGUUUAAAGGGUGCGUAGGCGGGUAGGUAAGUCAGUGGUGAAAUCUCGAAGCUUAACUUCGAAACUGCCAUUGAUACUAUCUAUCUUGAAUAUUGUGGAGGUUUGCGGAAUAUGUCAUGUAGCGGUGAAAUGCUUAGAUAUGACAUAGAACACCGAUUGCGAAGGCAGCAGGCUACACAUAUAUUGACGCUGAGGCACGAAAGCGUGGGGAUCAAACAGGAUUAGAUACCCUGGUAGUCCACGCCCUAAACGAUGAUUACUCGACAUACGCGAUACACUGUGUGUGUCUGNGAGAAGANAUAAUAAUACACGNGGAGUACGCGCGAGAGAGAAACCGAAACAGAGUAGACGGACGUAGAGACGNGACCGACGGACGACGACGACGGGGAGGGUAGGAG
rnacentral:rRNA from 1 species